CCGCUUCGCCCCCUCCCAUCCCGUUCUUCCUACCUCCUUGCUCCCGGAGGCGUACCUCUAGUCCGUCGCGGGCCUAGGGUUUCGCACCACCUGCACCUUACCCCGCCGCGCGCUCUCCCGGACAUUGCCGCGGCGUCGGCGGGGCUCCGGGAUGUGCUCGCCGACGCUGUCCUGGCAUAUCCACCUACAUGGAGUUCGGCCGCCGCGACUAACCUCGCCGUCUUCGUCGCGGGCUCGCCGCUGCUCCUCUCGGGCCUCUCCGCCUCCGGCUUCGCUGCCGCCUACCUUCUCGGCACCCUCACGUGGCGUGCAUUUGGGGCUCAGGGGUACCUCCUCGUCGCCGCCUACUUCGUACUGGGGAGGAGACGGGCAUGCUGCUUAUAUUGAAACAGGGAUUGUCUUGGUUUGGCAAUGUUGUAAGUUCGGAAAUCAUGGCAACACCACCAAAAGGUACAGUGUAAAUAAGCAAGUUUGUAGGGGUCUGGUGCAGUUGCGCCUGCUUGUUCAGAAAAUAAGCAGUUCUAAACUUCAAGAUGGCACGGCGGUAACCAAGUUGAAGAUAAAACAAAAAGAAGCUUUGGGGGUGGCUGAGAAGAGAGGAGGAAGGAGAGGGCCUGGAAGUGUUAUUGGUUCUAGUGCUGCUGGUUGUGUCUGUGCUCUCCUGUCAAUAUAUAAUAUAGGUGGUGGAGCAUUGGCUGAACUGUGGAUACUUGGCUUUGUUGCUAGCUUCUGUACUAAACUAAGUGACACAGUUUCCAGUGAAAUAGGGAAAGCCUAUGGAAGAACAACGUACCUGGUGACGACAUUUAAGGUUGUUCCAAGAGGUACAGAAGGUGCAGUCAGCGUUGAGGGCACUCUUGCUGGAAUUGUAGCAUCAAUGUUUCUUGCAGGUGUUGGUUAUAUUCUGGGGCAGGUGAAUGUACCACAAGGUUUGGUAUGUGUUCUCGCAUCCCAGAUUGCAAAUUUUGGGGAGAGUCUUAUUGGAGCGUCAUUACAAGAUAAGGAAGGUUUUGAAUGGCUGAAUAAUGAUGUUGUUAACGUACUCAAUAUCUCCGCUGGUGCCAUUUUGGCUGUUCUAAUGCAGCGGCUGCUAGUGAGUUGGCGCUCUUAAUCAUUCUUGACUUUUCUCAUUGUGCAUCCACUCAUAAAUUUUUGUAGUGAUAUCGAUGGUUGCUUUAGAGCUAUGGCAAUUGCUUCCCAUGUGUUUACUUCUGAAUAUGGAAUGAUAGUUCCGAGUUCCCGAGAAAUCACUAUUAAGUGGAUGUACAUUUGGUUACUGGCAAUGGUUGAAGGAAAACUAUUUGUGUUUGCUCUUUGUUAAACUCAUGACGGGACAAGUUGCACGGUUGAUGAUCCAUGAUCAUGAGGUGAUGCAGUUGCAUUGCAGCUCCAUCGUUCUGUGCAGCUGCAAGCCUCACAUGGCGUUUGCUUUUGUAGAGAAUCUUAAACUUGAUCGGUCAACUCAGCCUGCUGCUGCCUGCUAUACGGCGUAGUCACGCACGCCUUCCCAGUUCCCACUUUGGAUGGGCCAGACAUCUUUUGUCACGUCGGCCGAGAGGUAUUGUCACGGCCCGCGCCUGAGCAAGAGCUAGAAUGGUACAUGAUGCGCCUGGUAUAGCCUCGUGUACUUUUGUUUUCCCUCUUGGUUCGUCGAUUUCUCACGGUGCUACUUUCUGUCUCAUCAGUCUUAUUCUGCUUCUGGUGAGGUUUGUGAUUAUGAACAUUGAACAGGACAAGGAGCUUUUUCAAUACUUUUGAAA